rnacentral:lncRNA from 1 species
UCUUUGUUUGCUCAGCACCUCACGCCAGGCCAUGCCCGUGACAGCCCAAAACGCAACUGUGAAUAGAAAGUCUAUCACAAGGGUUCUCAAAUACGAAAGUCGAGUUGGAACAAAGAGCAGGCACCAGCCAGUCUUCCUCUGUUAAAGAUUAUCCAACGCGUCACCUGGGUGCCAACGUUCCCAUAAAUCCCAGCAGCUAUAAGCAGCUCUGUCUCACCUAGUGUAACUGAAUGGCGUUGAAACCCUGCCGGGGACCUCGUGGCAUUCCAUGAAACGACCUCAUCACAGGGGAAUGAACUUUAUCUUGAAGGCUAGAUGAGAAUCUGUCUAUGUUGCCCAGGCUGGUCUCCAACUCCUGACUUCAAGCAAUCCUCCUGCCUCAGCCUCCCAAAGUGCUGGGAUUACAGGCAUGAGCCACAGUGCCCAGCCCCACUCCCAUUUUCUGAAUCUUUCAGAAUUUCAGAUUGCCUUAAACUGCCCAAAAAAGCUGCUAUAAAACCUCAACAUAUCGCUGCUGCACAAAACCACCCAAACCAUCUUCAGACCUCUGCCCUCUGGCAUGUGAGUGGCCUGCAUUUCAGGAGGUGAAAGAUCAGACCUUUGUUAUUUGUUAAAGCACUCAGCAACCCAGAACUAAACAUGCACGCCGAUGUUGAUUUGAGAACUAAAGGAUAUCUUUC